rnacentral:rRNA from 1 species
AUUGAACGCUGGCGGCAUGCUUUACACAUGCAAGUCGAACGGUAACAGGUCUUCGGAUGCUGACGAGUGGCGGACGGGUGAGUAAUACAUCGGAACGUGCCUAGUAGCGGGGGAUAACUACUCGAAAGAGUAGCUAAUACCGCAUGAGAUCUACGGAUGAAAGCAGGGGACCUUCGGGCCUUGUGCUACUAGAGCGGCUGAUGGCAGAUUAGGUAGUUGGUGGGGUAAAGGCUUACCAAGCCUGCGAUCUGUAGCUGGUCUGAGAGGACGACCAGCCACACUGGGACUGAGACACGGCCCAGACUCCUACGGGAGGCAGCAGUGGGGAAUUUUGGACAAUGGGCGAAAGCCUGAUCCAGCAAUGCCGCGUGCAGGAUGAAGGCCCUCGGGUUGUAAACUGCUUUUGUACGGAACGAAAAGCCUGGGGCUAAUAUCCCCGGGUCAUGACGGUACCGGAAGAAUAAGCACCGGCUAACUACGUG